rnacentral:rRNA from 1 species
UGAUCCUGGCUCAGAACGAACGCUGGCGGCAUGGCUAAGACAUGCAAGUCGCACGGAUCACAGUAGCAAUAUUGUGAUUAGUGGCGGAAGGGUGAGUAAUGCAUGGGUAACGUACCCCGAACACGGGAAUAACAGCGGGAGCAAUCCCUUUGCGAAAGUGCUGCUAAUACCCGAUGAAGUCCCGGGACCGCAUGGUUUCGGGAUCAAAGGUGGGGACCGCAAGGCCUACCGGUUUGGGAGCGGCCCAUGUCCUAUCAGCUCGUUGGUGAGGUAACGGCUCACCAAGGCUGCGACGGGUAGCGGGACUGAGAGGUUGGCCCGCCACAUCGGGACUGAGACACUGCCCGGACACCUACGGGUGGCUGCAGUAACGAAUAUUGGGCAAUGGGCGCAAGCCUGACCCAGCAAUGCCGCGUGCAGGAGGAAGUCCUUCGGGAUGUAAACUGCUGUCAGGGGUUCGCAAGCGAAGAGGGUGAACAAUCCUCUGAGUUGAGCCGCCCCAGAGGAAGCCUCGACUAACUCUGUGCCAGCAGUCGCGGUAAGACAGAGGAGGCGAGCGUUGUUCGGAAUCACUGGGCUUAAAGCGCGUGUAGGCGGCUCGGCAAGUGUCGUGUGAAAUCCGGCGGCUCAACUGUCGAACUGCACGACAGGCUGCCGGGCUUGAGGUCGGUAGAGGUGCCUGGAACUCUAGGUGGAGCGGUGAAAUGCGUAGAUAUCUAGAGGAACGCCAGAGGCGAAAGCGGGGCACUGGGCCGAUUCUGACGCUGAGACGCGAAAGCGUGGGGNGCAAACAGGAUUAGAUACCCUGGUAGUCCACGCCGUA